rnacentral:rRNA from 1 species
AACAAACGCUGGCGGCGUGCCUAAUACAUGCAAGUCGGACGGGGAAGUCCCGCAAGGGAUUGUACUAGUGGCGCACGGGUGAGUAACGCGUGGGUAAUGUUCCACAGAGUGGGGGAUAACCAGUCGAAAGAUUGGCUAAUACCGCAUAAGACCACAGGAGCUGAGGCUCUAGGGGUAAAAGGUUUUUCGCUUUGUGAUCAGCCCGCGUGAGAUUAGCUAGUUGGUGAGGUAACGGCUCACCAAGGCAACGAUCUCUAACAGGUCUGAGAGGAUGAUCUGUCACACUGGAACUGAGACACGGUCCAGACUCCUACGGGAGGCAGCAGUAGGGAAUAUUGCACAAUGGAGGAAACUCUGAUGCAGCGACGCCGCGUGAGUGAUGAAGGACUUCGGUUCGUAAAGCUCUGUCGUAUGGGAAUAAGAAAGUGAAUGUACCAUGCAAGAAAGGAUCGGCUAACUUCGUGCCAGCCGCCGCAGUAA